UGGGAGAGCGUUAGACUGAAGAUCUAAAGGUCCCUGGUUCGAUCCCGGGUUUCGGCAGGGUUUUUGCCGACACGCGACAGGACGAGAGUCUGUUCAUUUCACUACUCUCCCGAGCCCCCCGGGCGCGCCUGCGCAACGGUCCUGCGGGUCUCUUGGUGCUCGUGCCCACCCCCGCGCCUGCGCAGCGGUUUGGGUGGAUGGAUGGGUGGGUGUCUCUUAGCGCAUGUACCCUCUCCCGCGCGUGCGCACCGGCCGCGCGGGUCUCAGCGCCCCCCCUCCCCCCGGGAAGCGGUGGUGCUUUCAUUCAGCACGCUGAAGGUAUGGGGCUUUGGGCCUAGUCGCGGAGCCCCGAGGGGUGGAGUGCCUCGCACCCUAAGACCGCACACUAGGCUCCUUAGUGUUUGUUCCGAGUGCCGUCAGCUCACAGGGCUCGCAAGAUUUUCUCGUGGGUGAUAGAGGUGCCGACAGCCUUAAAAACGUUUUUCUAUACAGCCAGACUCGAAAAUCAGGGCCCCGUCGGCCGGUUAGAAAUCUGGUGAAGGAUGGUUCCCAGCCGGAGAUGUGACUCAUAAGCACGUGUCUCGAUCUGAAAGAGUCCUUGGAACCCGUUUUCUCACCACGCCGUUAAUAAACGGGGCGCAAACUAUUGCUCAGGGCCAAACGCUGCGCAGUUACCGCCAGGAGCAUUGCUGUCAGGACUGACGACGGCGGUGCAGUUUUCUGGUUGUGGGUCUUUUGAUGUUCCGGAUAUAAAAGCGUUCAUCGAGCGCCUGCCGCCCUCCAGCCUUUAAGCAAAUUUAGACCCAGUCCUGGUCCUCAGUGCGGCGAAAGGCUCGCUACCAGAAGCACCCAAUCAAGAGCUUUGACGGCGGGAAACUGGCUUUUGCAGCGUUACCAGCCAACACCAGAAAGACAGCCAGCGAGAGAGGGAACACAAGC